rnacentral:lncRNA from 1 species
CUUGAGGACACCAUACACAGGAAUUGUAGGACCUAGAAAGAAAAAUUAGUGAUUAUUGUAUGGUAUUUUGAAUAAGACAAGAACUUGAUGUUGAAUAGGACAAGAACUUGAUGUUGUAAUUAAACCUAUAUCUUGCAAUAUAUAGUAGAUGAAUGUUUGGUUGCAUGUAUUUAUGUUAUUGAAGUGGUUUAUAUUUUGAU